GACGAACGCUGGCGGCGUGCUUAACACAUGCAAGUCGAACGAUGAACCCGGAGCUUGCUCCGGUGGAUUAGUGGCGAACGGGUGAGUAACACGUGAGUAACCUGCCCUUGACUCUGGGAUAACUGCGGGAAACUGUAGCUAAUACCGGAUACGACCCUCGGCGGCAUCGCCAGGGGGUGGAAAGAAUUUCGGUCAAGGAUGGACUCGCGGCCUAUCAGCUAGUUGGUGAGGUAGUGGCUCACCAAGGCGACGACGGGUAGCCGGCCUGAGAGGGCGACCGGCCACACUGGGACUGAGACACGGCCCAGACUCCUACGGGAGGCAGCAGUGGGGAAUAUUGCGCAAUGGGCGAAAGCCUGACGCAGCAACGCCGCGUGCGGGAUGACGGCCUUCGGGUUGUAAACCGCUUUCAGCAGGGAAGAAGCCGCAAGGUGACGGUACCUGCAGAAGAAGCACCGGCUAACUACGUGCCAGCAGCCGCCGUAA
rnacentral:rRNA from 1 species